UUUAAAGUGAGCUAAUAUUCAAUAUCCGCUUCAUAGACCAAAUAAAGUUGGUACAUGACAACAAAAGAUACAUAGCCAACCAUGCAUAGAUACCAACUCGCCAUGUUGCCAACAAAAGUAAAGCUAUAUAUACAUACAUAUGUCACUACAUGUGACCGUGCAAUUUCUUCCAGCACGGUCAAAAGCAUCUCUCACUUGUUCAUUUUUUUGCCAACAAAAAGACAUACAAUCAGCCUAGAAGAACUGCAAUACAAAAAAUGAAUUUGUAAUUAAAUAAGUUUAGUUGUGAGAUGAGAAGUCGAAAGCUUGCAAGAAUAGAGAUGGUUAGAAGGAACAUACCGACAGUGCACUAAAGAAAAUUACAAGGCAAAUGCCCUUUCCGAGACC
rnacentral:lncRNA from 1 species